AUUCUUUUGUAGGUCAUAAGUACGAUGACUGUCUUCACACUCGUGUGAGAUAUGCCUCCCUCAAACCUUGCUAUAUUGGCACAUUACCCGACUGACA
ensembl:snoRNA